GACCCCGAUAGAGUACACGGCGACGGGCAUAAGGGCUUUGAGCAUUUGGAUAAAGGAGACGGAGAGGUAAAUGUAAGCGGAGUUGGAGAGCCAGAGGCUGAGGGAAUACAAAGCGCCGAUGGGGACGACGGAGGAAAGGAAGAGACAGCGAGACAUGGUGACGGGUUCGACGAAUUUGAAGACUUUGAUGAGGAGGAAAGCGAGGGUGCCGCAAAAGAACAUGUGGAUCAUCGUUAGAGAGAUGGGGAACUGGUUAAUGGUAUUGCCCUUGCAUGGUUUAUUAUUACCACUUAUGCAUCUCAAACGGUAACGCCUUCCACAGGCUGCUCCGUUGCCCCACAAGCUUCCACAGGCUGCCCCGUUGUCCCACAAGCAUUCACCCACUGCGACAAACAAGUUCCCCGGUGGGAACUGUUCUUGUCCGUUGCCGUUGCACCUAGUUGCUGCAUGCCAAAAAAACAUUACUAUGAGCGUGCAUGUUUCGCCACGUUCAUGCAGAUUAAUUAAUGAUUAGCUGUACAUAUAUAUAUAUAAAUGAUUCAUGUAUAUGAUUUUUACUCACGUAGAUAUGGUGGAUGAUAAGCGGUAACAGUGCCAAAACCCGCGAACACGAAGCUUAAUUCUGUGCUUAAUAAACUUAAUAUGAUUGUAAACACUGAGAGUACCGCCAUAUGGUAAUUAAUCAGUGUGCAAAAUGAGGGACUUAAUAUUAAUUGGUUAGUUUAAUUUUGCUAGCUAUAUGAUAUAAGCUAAUUGUAAGCUGCCCUAUUUAUAGACAUGGAAUCUCGUCUCUUGAGUAUGAACGAAUUUAUUCAAGUUAGAUUUUAGUUAUCUUAUCGGCGUUGAUGGGCUAUUUCCAAAAGUUAAAAGGGUUCAUGUCUUAAGUUUGACAAUAAUUAAAAUCCCAAUUUUCUUCUAGAGGAAUGAUGUCAUGGAUUCUUGAUGAAGUGGACCACUUUAAUUUGAAAAGUAAUAUUUAACGGCCAGCUCCCUACGGCGCGUAUAUUAAGCUAUUAGUUGUUUGAUAAACAUUCAAGUAGUUAAACAAUUCUUAAUUUUUUUUUUACAGAACUCCAAUUGAAAUUAUAUUAUUUUGUAUUUGUCAAUUUUUAUCUUCAAAUAAUAUCUUUGUGAAACGACAAUUUUAUUUUUAUGAUGUCAGCGAAGUUCUAACAGUGUUAUAACGAAAGUGGACCAGUAAAAAAAAAUAUUAACUUCAAAUGGAGCGCUGUCAAAAAAAAAAUUUGUGUAUUUUUAAAAAAAAAUUAGAAAAAAAGAUGGUCGGUGGAUAAUUACCCUUAAUUAUAUUAAAGAACUAAAUUAUAUUUUUGGGAUAUAAUCAUGUUUUAUCUUUGUUUAUUUGAUAAUAUUCAAAUUAAAAAUCUGCAUUUUUUUAUUCAUAAUAAUUAGAGGAUUAUGUUUUUUUAAUAAAAAAGAAACAAAAAUGAUUACACCACGGUUUUCGCUUUUGUUUUUAUUACUUUUGUUUUCUUGGUGAUGUAAAAGGGAAGUAGCUGAGACAGAAAAAGACAGGAAUCGAGAGGAUUAGAGGUCAAAUUCUUUUCCAACCUACUAUACCUUAGGGCCCGUUCGGUAUUGUUUCUGAAUUUAUAUAUUUUGAGAAUAAAAAUAAAAAUAAUAUUUUGCAGUUGCUGUAUUUUGAAUUUAAGUAUGAUUUGAUAUCAUUUUUUAUGUCCUGUAUUUUAAAACUAAAAACAGUAAUAUGCGUUCAGUAAGCGAAAAUAAUAAAAAUAGAGAAUAUGCGUUGGGUAAUACUUUUUUCAAAAACAGUUUUUACUAUGCAUUUACGUCAUAUUUAUAGUUAUAAAAUAAUUAUUUAGCUAAUACAUACACAAAUACAACAUAAUAAUUUAAAAAAAUUAUUAUAAAAAAAAUUACAUGAUAAAGUUUUAGAAUUAACAUUAAUUAAAAAAAAAUUGCAUUAUUUUUACACCAUAAUUAAAAUAUAUAUUACAACACAUGAUUUAAACAAAAUAAUUAUAAAACCACCAAUCAUAAGGUCACAGCAUGCAACAAUAAUAAAUGUCAGUAUGGCUGCCAACUCAUAAGCUGGGGAUGGUCCAGUAUGUAAAUUCUUUCCAUCUUCAUCUGAAUCAGAGUCAGCAGCCUUGCUGCAUUUCCAGUCUUCAUCACUGUCAGCAUCUUCAACUUUCUACCAAAUGAGAACGUCCACUCGUAAAUUCAAUAGAACAACCACAUUUGCAUGAUUCAGAAUCCCUAAUUAAUGCUUCUAAUUUUGAAAUGCUUACCUAUUCUUUAUCAAUAUCAGCUAUACGCUUGAAACUAUGCCAAUGUAUGUCAUACUCAUAUUCACAUAAGAAAGCAUCAUCCCCUUGAUCAUUGGCCUUGGCAAAAUCUUUUGGAUUCAUGACAGAGCAAUGCCUGAUGAUGGAUUCCAUCUGCAGUGAUACGCAGUAUUAAAGUUACAAGCUUUAAUAUGAAAAUUCUUGCUUUUCUUGAAUAAGGAUCCUGAGUUCUAAGUAACUAAUAUUAAAGUUACAAGCUUUAAUAUGAAAAUUCUUGCUUUCUAUGCGGGCAAUAUUUUUGAAGUGACAGACAAUAAAUUCAAAUUGUGAAUUCCAUCCAAAGCAAUAAAUUGAAAUUACAGAUUGUUUGACUGAAUUCUAUCCAGGGCAAAACUUGAAAAAUCUUUAUUUCUCUCUAAUAACAAAAGCUCAAUUUGCCUAAAUUAUUUUCUCUGUAAAAAAAAUAUAUUUUUGGAGUGACAGGCAAUAAAUUCAACUUGUGCAUUAUCAACAAAAUGGAAUUUGUAGUAAAAUCAAUAUUAUGGCAAUGACUGUUGAUGCGAGAUUCUGGUCCUCCUCGUUCUACGACCAGGAGCUCUGCUCGAUCAACGUCACCACGAUCAGGAUCUCUCCUCGUAAAGCUUCUUCUCCAGAAGUUCCUACGUACACAGACAGGUCAGAGUACGCCCGUUGGUUCCCCGGCGCAAAUCCUCCGACGCUCAAGUCAGAAAUGAAGGUUUUGGGAAUCUAUGCCACGAAUCUUAUGGCUUCUUUUUAAUCUCAGUUCUUAGUGCUCUCUUUUCUUAGUUCUAAUAGCAAAAAGUCUAACCCUUUUACCUUCGUUGGCUACCUUUUUAUAGGUCCUCCUGACUCCAGACCUUCCCCUUAUUUGCGCUCGUUAUCCUCCCACCUCUCGGACGUGGAUGCUCCAUUUCUGUAAUCGUGGGUGGAUGCGUGGCCUUAGUGCCUUGAUUUUCGGAUUGCAGAGCCCGCCGCACCAAUUCUCGUUGACCGGGUCUCCUCGAUUAAAACCUUUAGCAGGAAUGCUCCAUGCUACAGCAGGAGCCCAGCCUCGUGGACGGCAUGCUCGCGGACGAGCAGAAUAUUUCUGCUCAUGCUCCCCGGUCACCAGUCUCUUACAGGACACACCUGUUCGCAGAACUCUGCCAUCAGAUAUCUGCUCAUCAUGUCUGGUCUCGUCGACGUACUUCUCCCAAACAAUGACAAUCGUGAACAAUAUCAUAUUUACAUGCUAUUAAAAACAAUAAAAAUCAUUGAAAUAAUUUCUGAAAAUUUUAAUUAAACAGAACAAAUACUGGCAAGUGACAGAUCCGGGAGAGCAACAGCGGCUGGGCGAAGACGGAGCAGUGGCUGAGCAAAGACGGAGCAGCAGCGGCUACGGCGGAGACAGAGUAGCAGCAAUGGCUGAGACAAAGUAGCGACAGCCGCUGGCACACCAAGAGAGAGUGGACCGGGAAAAAUAAGGAGAGAGAGAUGUUGGAUGAAGAUAAGGGGAGGGAGAGAGUGCAGAUUUGAUGCAACUGGAUCGAGAAAGCUGCGGGGGAAGAGAGAGCGGUAGUGAAGAGAAAAGGAGGAGGAGGGUCACGAUGUUGCUUUUGUUUUUUAAUUCAUUUUUAGGUUUAGUUUGUACUAUUUGGAGAACAUGUUUUCAGUUUGCUAGUUAUAAUAAUGAAUCCGGAUUUUGUGUUUUGUAAUUUGUUUUUUGAAAUUAAUCCACCGAACAUGUAUUAUAUGUGUAUUAUGAAAACGAAAAUGAAAACACUGAUUGGAAAAGGGUACCGAACAUGCCCUUAUAUUCUCUAGACCAAAAGUAAAGAGAAAUAAAAUAAAUAGGGUUUGCCUACCUUACGUUAAAUGUAAGGUACAAUCCUCUCUCCAGUAGUGGGUCCCAAUAAAACUCAUUUUUUAACUUUGUGAGAGGGUUGUACCUUACGUUUAACGUAAGGUAGCAGCUCCCAAAUAAAUAUAGUAAACGCAGAACAGAAUUGACCAACUUAAAAGGAAAAUAUUUUUCUUCAAAAAAAAAAAGGAAAAUAUUUUAAUAAGAUAUUUGUUAUGGGUCUCAGUGCAUAUUUAGUUGGAGUUCGGCAAUAGUCAUCAAAAUUUACUAAAUUUCAUAUAUUAUUUAAUUACAUUUUGAUUAAAGCUUUUGUUAAUCAAAUAAAUUAUUUUAUCUUUAUUAGUAAAAAUUUAAAUUCUUGAGAGUAGAGGUUGCGGAUCUUUUAAAUUGGCUAAAGUAUAUUUAAUUUGUUUUAUAAUAUUAUAUCAUUCAUUUCAUAAUAUAACUUUAAAACAUUAUUUAAAAAUAAUUUUUUAAUUUUUAACAGGAAAUUUUAUUGAUAACCAAAUAACACAAUACUUUUUUUUUAUAUGAACUCUAUUCGUUAAAGAUUCAAUAAUAAAAAAAAUUACUUACAUAAAUUUUAUUUUAAAAAAUUAUAUCAAAAUGAAGCCUUGUGACCAUAGCAAUACCAUCACCAACAUUAGCUAAAAGGCUUUUCUGAGGCCCAAAUAUGGUAUCGAGAAAGCCCAGUCCGCAUCUACAGCAGCAGCCCGCCACAUCCCGCAGUCUGAGAUAGAGCAAUGUACAUUAUCAAAAUGCUUUCUCAUGGAAUAAUUUUUGUUACAAGUUUUCGAUUACGCCUUUGUAAAUGCAUGCAAUCCUAAUGUUUACUCACUUUAGACUUGGAAGGAGACAAAGAUAUUGACAGAAAAUACAUGCAACAAUUUGGAUGGAUUAGAAGUAAAAAAAACAAUUUUUUUGUAAAUGGUGGAUCGAUGUUCUCAAGUCUCAACAAUAUUAAUAAUACCGGUUUGAGCUCCCAGGGGACCGUCAUAUAGAAUAGGAAUAGAUAUAUCAUAUUAAUAUUUAUGGGAGUAAAUUUUAAAAUUAGUGUCAAUAUAUUUUUAGACUGAUCUAUAAAUUCAUGUUUCAUCAGAAGAAAUGAGAGGAGAAGAGAGACAUGGAAAGGAGAAAAUCGUGGGAUGAAAAAAUGAGGGUGAAUAUUAAUUUUAUUGUCCAAAUUAACAUAAAAUUCAUUUCUUCUCCCCUUAUUGUUAAUUUUUUUUAAUGCUCUCAUCAUCUUCUCCCUCACAUUUCCUUUAACUUCUUUGAACCAAGCAUACUAGUAUUCAAAUUCCCAAAAGAUCUAAUAUCGAUAUCGUAAUAUAUAUGUAGACUAUAAUAAAAGAGAAUGAAAAUAUAUAACCUGUUAAAAGGUCAGCUACUGGUGUGUUUGUGUCCUCAACCACAAGCUAGUGGUAGUAAAUUUUCAAGUUGGUAUUGAUAAGUCUUUGGACUUCACUGCAAGAUAUGUACUUAAAUUACUAGUAAGCUUUACAUUGUAACCAAUUAAAUAAAAAAAUAAAAAUAUAACCUAUUGAUUCAAAAUGAAAACUCUAUUCCGGUAGUACUAUAAUAUGAAAAGUAUUGUUGUUUCGUGUGUUAUAGUAGCACUGUGACACAAACAGUGAUCUUAUUGCUAUCUUGGUGGCGUGUCUUCUUAGCAUUUAAAUAUCAAUGCAGUGCUCUUCUUAUAAAAUACAUUCGUGCUGAAAUUACAUUAAAUUAUAUUUAUAAAUUUAUUUAAAUGUUAUCAUUGUUUCUCUCUCUCUAACACACACGGGAUGUUGUGCAUUAGGGGUGGGCAAACCCAAUCUAACCCAAUUAAAAUUUGACGGGUUUAGCGAAUUAUUAUGGGUUAAUUGGGUCAAUUUUUUCGAACCCAAUCAACAAUUGGUUUGGGUUGGGUCAUAUAAAUAAUAAUAAUAAGAAUAAUAUAAGUCUCAAUUGUAAAAUCGUAAAAAUCAAAACGGCUAAUCUAUUUUUUAUCCUCUUUUUAUUUUUUUAUAAAAGAGAUUAUUUUGUUCUUGUAUCUAUUACUCUAAACUCUAACUCCAAAAUUGAAAUCACUCUCUUAAAUCUCAAUUCUCAAUCAACUAAGGUACUUUUCUAAUGUAUUCAUUUUAUUUUCUUUUAUUUUUCUUUAUCAAAUACUAUAAAAUGAAUAAAAUUUUCAUAAUAUAAUAUUUUUAUAUUUUAUUUCAAUAAGUUUUAUUUCAAUAUUCGUAUAUUUUUCUUUAUUUAAUUUUUAAUUUAAAUUUGACUUCAAAUCUUCAACCAAAUCAACCCAACCCAACCCGACAAUUUAAGGGUUGGAUUGAGCAUAUUUAUUUAAUUUGGUUGGGUUGAGAUCAUCUCAACCCAUUCAAUAAUGAGUUGGGUUGAAUUUUCACAAACUCUAUCCAACCCAACCCAUGCCCACCCAUGUGUGCAUUCGUCAUAAAUCUCGUUCUACUACUAUAUUAAUUGUAAAAAGAUAAAAAAAUUCUUGCUAACGAGCUAAUCCCUUUAUCAUGACUGCUCACUUGUUGGCAAAUAAACUUCAAAAACAAUCUCUCUAUACCUCUCUUUUUUAAUAUUUUCCUUAUAAAUUAGUUAUUUAAGUACUUUUAAACUCUAAAUAAAAAUGUAACUUUGAUUCAAAUAAAAGAUGGGAAUCAAUAGUAUGGAGAUUGAUAAGAAGAGUACGAGAAACAAGAAUCGUACCUGUAUUUGGGGUUUUAAGUGAGCGAGUGUAGGGAUGGCAAUGGAUUGGAUCUGACCCAAGAUCCACGUGAUCCAAAUCCAAUCGGAUCGGAUUUGGGUCGGUUUAAAAUGAAUUUGGAUCGGAUUUGGAUAUUGAUGUGCGGAUUUAAGACGGAUAUGGAGCAGGUCUGGAUUUAUCUUAAUAUCUAAAUUCAUAUCCAUAUCCACCCAUCUUUUAAUUUAAUUUUAUUUUAAAAGUUUCUUAACAAUUGUGCAAUUAUACUGAUAAUAAAUUUUAUUCAUAGCAUAUUAGUGGUAUUUACCAUGCAUUUAAACUCUUAAAACUUAAUGGUUAGUUUUGUAAAUUUAAAGGUCAGCCAGCCUUAAAGCAUGUGCAUGGAAUAUUCAAAUUGCAAGCCAAGUAAUACAACCUGCCAAUUUAUUUUAUUAUAUUGGCCAAAUAAUUUUUAAGGAAUAUAGUUAUUCAUAUAUUUAGUCAAAUAUUGUCAUAAUAAAAAUAAUAAAUGAUUGAAUAUAAAUCAUAUUUAAUUUAUAUGUCAUUAUCUAAUGUUAUAGGAAUGAGGGUUGGCGUGUCGUGAAUAUUAGAAUGAUGAAGGAGACAAUAGAAUAUUAGAUUGGUCUUACUCCUGCAAUUACUUUUAAAGAAUAUUUUAUUAUCUUAUUUGUUGUUUUGGUGUAAAAGUAUAAGCUACAAUAUUUAUUAUAUUUUGAGAAAAAUUAUAUAAUUUAUUUAUUAUCAAUACAUUUUAGCCUUCAAUUUUCAUUCUAAAAAAUUAUUACUUUUUAAUUGAUGAGUUUUAGAAUUCAUGACAAAUUUAGAGCAGAUUUGAAUUUUAAUUUUUUUUCGGAUUUGGAGCAGAUAUAGAUAUUUAUUUCUUUUUUGGAUCUGGAUAUGGAGCGAAAAAUAUGGAUUCAUGACGGAUCUAGAGCAGAUACGAAUCUUAAUUUUUAUUAUGGAUCUGGAUCUGGAGCAGAGUAGAUCCAACCCAUAUCUGCCCAUUGUCACCCCUAAGCGAGUGUGGAUUAGAACAACUGAACAUGGGCGGCGGUACUAGAAUUAAAGCAGGUGUAAAUUGAAAAUAGCUAUUAUGGAUUUUCUAACAUUAUUUAAAGGGUACACAUAAUAAAGGGCUUUCAAUAGAAUGUUAAGGGGUGCCAACCGCCAAAGCUGCACCCUUUUUCAUUAGAGUAAAACACUGGCCCUUAAUGUUUCGAUGAGGGCCCAAAUUCAUUCCACUAAUAAAGCCCAUUUCCCAACACCAGCAGCCACCCAAAAGCUGAGGCAUAACAAUUAUUUGAUUUCGAGUUACGUAUGUAUGUAUAAAUUAUCGUAUGUAUUUAUUUUAUUUUUUUUGGUGGCAAUCCUGACGUUUAAUUCUUACGUGCAUGGAAGGUGAUAAAGAUACUAAGAGAAAAUACACGGGACGAUUUUGAUUUAAAAGUAACAAACUUAUUUUGGUGCCUUGCCUGUUUUAUUGAAAGAGGUUGGUGCCUGCAACUAGGGGGAUGAUUUAGAAACUUUAUUAAUAGCUAGGGAGUGAUAUAAAUUUUAAAAUAUUGACCGUAAUGUCAAAAUUUGUUUUAAAUAAUUACCUCCACCCAAAUAUAAUUUUUUUUUUCUAAAAUGAAUAGGAAAUUAAAAGAAAAUUAUUUUUGAGUGGGGUCAGCUGCCCCCAAACCCUCGAAUGUACACGUGCCUCUGCCUACAACACAUCAUGAUUUCAUAUAUUGGUCUGGUUGUUUGUCAUCAUUUCACAUUGCUAUAACUUGUAGGAAAGGGAAGGGAAGCGAUAUCUCUCAUAGCUGCUAUAGUUAGCAGUUGCCAUGCUCUGCUGUACCGUACAUCCGCCUUGGCCGUACAGCAGUCUCUAGCUUCAAAACUUCCUAGGAAAAAGUCGCUUUUUGCCGCAAUGAAGUCACCCUGAGCAGACCGGAUGACAGCCCCCAGACUAAUCAUUCCCCUUGAGCUAGCUAUAGCAGCAUCGACAGAGCCAACUUAGAGCCAACUUAGAGCCAAAACAAACUUGUCAGAGAGACAAGACGAAACCAAACUUGCCAAAAGACAAGACAAAACAAAACUUGCCAAAAGACAAUGAAUAUAAAUCAUAUUUAAUUUAUAUGUCAUUAUCUAAUGUUAUAGGAAUGAGGGUUGGCGUGUCGUGAAUAUUAGAAUGAUGAAGGAGACAAUAGAAUAUUAGAUUGGUCUUACUCCUGCAAUUACUUUUAAAGAAUAUUUUAUUAUCUUAUUUGUUGUUUUGGUGUAAAAGUAUAAGCUACAAUAUUUAUUAUAUUUUGAGAAAAAUUAUAUAAUUUAUUUAUUAUCAAUACAUUUUAGCCUUCAAUUUUCAUUCUAAAAAAUUAUUACUUUUUAAUUGAUGAGUUUUAGAAUUCAUGACAAAUUUAGAGCAGAUUUGAAUUUUAAUUUUUUUUCGGAUUUGGAGCAGAUAUAGAUAUUUAUUUCUUUUUUGGAUCUGGAUAUGGAGCGAAAAAUAUGGAUUCAUGACGGAUCUAGAGCAGAUACGAAUCUUAAUUUUUAUUAUGGAUCUGGAUCUGGAGCAGAGUAGAUCCAACCCAUAUCUGCCCAUUGUCACCCCUAAGCGAGUGUGGAUUAGAACAACUGAACAUGGGCGGCGGUACUAGAAUUAAAGCAGGUGUAAAUUGAAAAUAGCUAUUAUGGAUUUUCUAACAUUAUUUAAAGGGUACACAUAAUAAAGGGCUUUCAAUAGAAUGUUAAGGGGUGCCAACCGCCAAAGCUGCACCCUUUUUCAUUAGAGUAAAACACUGGCCCUUAAUGUUUCGAUGAGGGCCCAAAUUCAUUCCACUAAUAAAGCCCAUUUCCCAACACCAGCAGCCACCCAAAAGCUGAGGCAUAACAAUUAUUUGAUUUCGAGUUACGUAUGUAUGUAUAAAUUAUCGUAUGUAUUUAUUUUAUUUUUUUUGGUGGCAAUCCUGACGUUUAAUUCUUACGUGCAUGGAAGGUGAUAAAGAUACUAAGAGAAAAUACACGGGACGAUUUUGAUUUAAAAGUAAUAAACUUAUUUUGGUGCCUUGCCUGUUUUAUUGAAAGAGGUUGGUGCCUGCAACUAGGGGGAUGAUUUAGAAACUUUAUUAAUAGCUAGGGAGUGAUAUAAAUUUUAAAAUAUUGACCGUAAUGUCAAAAUUUGUUUUAAAUAAUUACCUCCACCCAAAUAUAAUUUUUUUUUUCUAAAAUGAAUAGGAAAUUAAAAGAAAAUUAUUUUUGAGUGGGGUCAGCUGCCCCCAAACCCUCGAAUGUACACGUGCCUCUGCCUACAACACAUCAUGAUUUCAUAUAUUGGUCUGGUUGUUUGUCAUCAUUUCACAUUGCUAUAACUUGUAGGAAAGGGAAGGGAAGCGAUAUCUCUCAUAGCUGCUAUAGUUAGCAGUUGCCAUGCUUUCACAUUGUUAUAUAUAUACAUAUAGGAAUUUAGGGAUUGAUUGUAAGCAUGACAAGCAUAUAUAUAUAUAAUAGAGUAAAUAUCUAUAAAUGCAUAUAUACUACAAGACUCAAAAGAGUCUCAUGCGUAGAUAUGAAACUAAUUAAUUACGCUGUCGAUCAACAUACACACACCACAUAUAAUAGUGAUGAACAAUAAGUGGUUUGAAAUAUAAUAUACAGUAGUGCUACACAUCCUUUAUUUUUUAUUCUAAAAUGUUAUCCCAAAUAAUGUGUCAUUAGUUGAGUGGUUGAUAAUUAUUUACAAGAUCCAAGUGAAUUAAUUGUAUUAUCUCACCAACCAAUUAAUAAAUGACACAUCAUUUAAAAUAAUUUUUUAAGAUAAAAAAUUUAAGACGUGUAGCAUCACUCAUAUAAUAUUACGUCGCAAUCAGCAUUAAUCAUUACUUUGUCUUCCCAUCUUAAUUUUUAGUCGCACGGUUGGAUAUUUUUCAAGGCUUAUUAAUGAAUGACAGUUGAGGAGGGAACGCAACACCAAACGUAUACGCGUUGCCCGCGAAAGCUGUUUGAAGCGUGGUGCCGACACCAUGACGCAUCAUCGCUUCAUUUGAUCAAUUGCUUCGGCGUAUCACCUAGUUGUCAUACGUAGACUGUAAAUUGAUUUCGGGGGUUUGCUAAGUAGAGGUGUACAACGGCUGAAUGGUUACAAGAUUACGCAAGGUUUUCUUUAAAUAUAAGUAAUUUCAAUGUUUUCUAUCUUUUGCACUCAUAAAACACUACAUACGUGUUUGUGUUCGGUCGACCAUCUUUUAAAACAUAAAAUUCGUUUUACACUUUUACUCCCAAAAAAAGAAGGGAAACAUUUUUUUUUCUUCUUUUUCUUGUUUUGUCAUUGUAAGUCCUAAAUGAAGAACUCUCUUCUACCAUUUUCUCAAAAUAAUAAUAGUAACAUCAUCAUCAUCAAUAAUAAUAAUAGUAAUAGAAAUAUAUUUGUUAUUUAUGUUUUUGUACAUCAAUUAAACCAAAUAUGUAUAGUUUAUCAUUUUUCCUUAAACGAAUAAAAUUGAUAAGAUAACCUAAUUUAUUCUUAAAAUUAAAAUAAUCAAAAUAAUUAAAUAAUAAAAAUGAUUAACUAUUACUUCAAACUUAGUUAAUGAAAAUUACUCUAAUAAUAAUUCUUUAAAAUAUUCUUACCAAAUGUGUUUUACUUUUUCUUACUUUUAGGAUUAUUUUUAAAAAAUGAUAUUGAACGUAUUUUUAAAUUUUAAAAUAAUAUUUUUAUUCUCUUUUUUUUUUAUAAAAAUAGCAAUUUGAAAAUGAUACCGAAUGGGCUCUUUAAUUUCCAUGUACAAGCGAAUUCUGAUGUAUGGUAAUUUUUUACUCAAAAAUCUUGAUAAAUUUAUGAUAGAAAUGGGUACUAUGUACUUUUUUUUAGGGCUUAUUUCUUUCUAGAUUUAAAGCUUCUAUAAGUUUUAGGUCUAUACAACUAUAAACAACUUAUCAAUCUUUGCAGCAUACUUGUUAUUGUACACUUCAAUUGGUUAGAUCAUUUAGGACGAAGGAUUACUUAAAAUAGCUUAAGGAUAUCCCUACUAAAGGUCUCAUAAAUUUUUCCGUAAUAAGUGGAUGUAUCAUUUCUUUUUUUUUAAUACUAAUUACACAUCAGAAUAUUGUAUUAUACAAAUAUUUACAAACUGAUAUUUACAAUCAGAUAUAUAACUGAGACUUACAUUAUUACAUUAAUUCUAUGAACUACAUGCUUAGACAUAUGACCCUCAUAUACGAAGGAUGUCUCUAUUUCACUCGCAUUUUACAAGGAAGAAAGACUUUACAAAUUAACUUCAUACAAUUUUUUACUUAAUUGAGGGAGGUUGAGCAUAUGAAGACUCGAACCACUAUCUUUAUAACUCUGCUUAACUUUGAGAGCAAUGAUUUACCACUAGGUCAAAACCCAAGUGGCUAAGUGGAUGUAUCAUUUUAAGACACGCGGAUGUACUGAUUUUUCUCCUUGUUCAUCAAUACAAUAUAAUAAUAAUAAUAAUAAUUUGUCCAUUGGUCUUUAAUUUGUAAUUCUCUAUUGUAAUAAAUUGUCCAUAAAUUAUUCCAAAAACACAUGGUAUAAAAUUAGUAUUAUACUUUUAUUAGUUGGAAAUGAAAAAGAAUUGAAAGUUAUGUCGUGCGUUUAAGUUUCAAUAAUAAAGAAAAGUUUGCAUGCAAUCAUAUCGCUGAAUUAAAGUAAAGGUCCCUUAUUUCCAUUAGGUCCCCUCACCUGCUUAUUGGUGUGGAUACAAGGAUGCGUACGUUGCAAUUAAUAAUGCUUAGAAAUAUAUAUAUAUAUAUAUAUCAUUAUUUUUUUGUCUUUACCCACGUAGGUUCAUUUAAAAUAAAUUAAUAUAUACCAACAAGUGUGUAGAUUAGCUGGUAUGAGGUUGUUCUGAUUUAACUAAAGUUAUCGGUUUGAGACUUAGGAAUACAGCUGCGUUAAAUACUCGUUAGGAGAACUUUGUUGUCCUAUUGGUCCUAUUCGUCUCGAAUUUGAAUUACUUGAGAAUCAAUGUAAUCUCCGAGGAUACCAGAUGUUUUAAUAAAAGAAAAAAACUAAUAUAUUAUAUGAAUAUCAUUGUACAGGUACCUCAUCUAUCAUUUAUUAUACAGCAAUACAACUGUAAUUUCUAUAAUCUAUGUUUCUCCAGUUUCUAAUUAAAACACACACACACACAUAUAUAUAGAUAUAGAUAUGUAUAUUAGCUAGCAUGCAUCAUAUUCAUAUAUCACGCUUCUUGAUUAUAUCAUCACCAGCUCAUUUUGUACUUUCCGAAUCUUGAAGAGUCAUAUCCUGCAGCCACAUAUAAAAUUAAGAGUUAGUUGAUAGAAUCAACAACAAAUUAAUAAAAAGCAGUAGCAUUGAGAUGAUCAUGAGAAGAUGCAUACUGGACAUAUUCAACGUUGAUUUUUGCAUCAACACGGGAGAUUGCUUGAAAAGCAUCAUUCGAGAGGACGAUAGUUGAAGGGCAGGGUGACUUUCGGCAAAAAUCCACAACCUUAACGUCAAUGGUGCUGCCCUUGCAUGGUUUGUUGUUACCGCUUAUGCAUCUCAUCCGGUAACGCCUUCCACAGGCUGCGCCGUUAUCCCACAAGCCUUCACCCACCGCGACAAACAAGUUCCCCGGUGGGAACUGGUCUUGUCUGUUGCCGUUGCAUCUCGUUGCUGCAUGCAGGAAAAAAAAAAAACAUUACUAUGAAGGUGCUUCAUCACGUGCGUGCAAAUUAAUUAAUAAUUAGCUGUAUGUAUAUACACAUGAUUCAUGUAUAUAUGUAUAUGAUUUUUACUCACGUAGGUAUGGUGGAUGAUAAGCGGUAGCAGUGCCAAUAUCCGCGAACACGAAGCUUAAUUCUGUGCUUAAUAAACUUAAUAUGAUUGUAAACACUAAGAGUACUGCCAUACAGUAAUUAACCAGUGUGCAAAAUGAGACACUUAAUAUUAAUUGGCUAGUUUAAUAUUGCUAGCUGUAUGACAUAAGCUAAUUGUCAGCUGCCCUAUUUAUAGAUAUGGAAGCGCGUCUCUUGAGUAUGAACGAAUUUAUUCAUGUUCGAUUUUAGUUAGCUUUUCGGCGUUGAUUGGCUUUUUCCAAAAGUGAAGAAGGUUCAUGUCUUAAGUUUGACAAUAAUAAAAAUCCCAAUUUUCUUCUAGAGGAAUGGUGUCAUGGAUUCUUGAUGAAGUGGGCCACUUUAAUUUGAAAAUUAAUAUUGAACCCCACCUCAAUUUCAUGAAGACAAAUUUUUUGAACAUAUUUGUCAUUAUUUCAAAAAUUGGGACAGCCUUAUUAUUAUCUCAGUUUUAAUUUAUUCUUGUCUCGAAUGAGAUUGUGGCGAACUCUCUAUCAUAACUCAUAGCAUUUAUCUCUUAAAUAAAAGUAAUGGUAUCACACGAGAAUGAUGAGCAACCAAACUUUAUAUUUUAAAAAGAAGAAUAAGCUCGCGAUCUAGGAAUCUGUCACGUGGUUUUGGUAACUUUUUUUCAUAUAAAAUUAAACUGCUAUUGGCAGCACAAUUUAGAAGUGGAAAAAGUAAACAGACCCAUUAACUGCACAAAAACAGUUCCCAAUUGGUGGAAUUUAUUUGUGGUAUUUCGGAGUGAGUGUUGCUAAGAAUGCAUAAUCUCAAAUGGCUGUAAAUAAAUAUUAGGUCGUACUUUUCCUUCAGAAGGUUGGGUUUCUGAUGAAAUAUUUGACAUGUUCAUGAACAAUUUUACAUGGAUCCCAUUUUCUCAAGGUUGGUAUCUAUCAAUAGAAAAAGCCAAUAGAAGAUUCAUAUACGUUCUUACUUCCAGAAAAGUCAAUCUAUCUGGAGUCUGACGUACAGCUUUCAAUCUAGAUAAAUCCAGAAGAGAUCAGCUUUCAAUCCUGUGUGACACUAGCUUUACAGCUUCCUACGGCGCAUAUAUUAAGCUAUUAGUUGUUUGAUAAAUCUUCAAGUAGUUAAACAAAAACAUAUGGCUAGUUUUCUUUCAAAGAUUUGACUUCUUCAAUUUAAUAAAUGGGAUUGAGUUGAGAUCUUGAGUGGGAUACGCUUAGCCGCAAGGUCACGAGGCUGAGAGGUGACAAUGGUUGAUAAAAAGGCAUUGCCUUUAUGAAGGCACGAUUAAUAAGAUUUAUCUCAAGUUAGUGCGUAAUCUAUGCUAUUGGGUUCUAGCACAGGAUUAAAUCUAUCAUCAAUUUGGCCGCAAUUUUAGCGGAUGGCAGCCACAGUCAAGGUUUGCUCCAAAAGAAGCCGCUCGGACUUUGGCUGCGUCCCCAUAUUAAAAUAUGGAGAUUUAAUUUUCUUUACGAAAUAUGAGUGGAACAAACGUUUCUUGAAUAUUAUUGAGGGUAAAAAUCUUUAUAAUACUUUAUAAAUUCAAUGUAAAUUAAUCCUAAUAAUUAUUUGAUUGUAAAUAUCAAUAGCUGUCUCAUAUAAUAUCAGUAGUAUUUUUAUUAUAAUAUCAAUGUAAAAAAAAUUAGGUUAAAAACAUGAGUUUACUCCAAUAGAUAAUUAAAUAAAAUCAUUAUUUUAAAAGUAGAUAUCAAAAUCUCUUACCAUUGGUGAAUUCUGCCAAUUUAAAUGAAAAACAAAGCAUUAUUGUACAUGGAUUUUGAGAUACAUAAUAGAAUAUUGAUCACCGUGAGCAUUACAAUACAUUAAAGACCAGUUUGGGAAUGUUAUAACUUCUAAAAUAAUUGUUGUUAGUUGUGCUGUAAAAAUAAUCAGUUGUGAAGAGAAUCAGUUAAGUGUUUGGUAAAUUUUGUUUUCAAAAGUACUAUGAGUUUUGAAAGCAGUUAUGAAAGUUUGGUAAAUUUUACUAUUAAACCGAUGAGAGAAAACAAAUGACUAAAAUGUACAUAAUGUAUGAUAAAAUUUACUUAUACAUAUAAAAACAUGUACAUAUAAUAUUUUUAAUUAUAUAUUAUAAUAAUUUUUACCAAAAAUAAAAAUUUAUAAUAUAUUGAUUUUAUUUUUUAUCUUAAAACAAUUGAUAAUUAAAUUUAUAAUAUAGUAAAACAAAUUUAAUAAUAAUUCGACCAACAAAUUGAUAUUAAUAAAUUUAUAUUGAUGAAUUAUUAUAAAAAUUUAUUAAAAUAUUGAUUUUGUUUCCAAUAAUUUUGGGUUUAGAUAAUAAUUUUAAAGAUGUUUAUGAAAUUGUAUUAAAGGAUAAAAUUGAUUUUCAAAAUCAUAUCUAAAAGUUACUACCUCUCUGCUUUUCAAAAUCAGCUGUAGGAGGGGUUGAUUUUGACAAAAGUGAUUUUGAUGAUUUUUUAUCAAAUACUAAAAUUAGCUUUUAGAUUUUCAAAAUCACUUUUAAGCCUCUAAAAAACAAUCGCAAACGGGUCCUAAACCCUUACUUUUCUUCAUCCAAAUAAAUGAAAUUCAUUACCAAAAAGCAGCUCAAAUGCACAUUUCUAAAAUGUUGAGAUCUAAGAGCAUCUCCAAAAGUCUAUUAAUUUUACUUUCAAAUAUAUAUUUGCUUACUUAUGUGGCAACAAAAGACAGUGAAAAAAUAUAUUAUUCUUCAAAAGGCUCUUCAAAUAUAAAUAAAUUAAUAUUACUUUAAUCAAAUAAAUACUUUUUCAAAGGAAAAAUAAAUGGUAAUUAAAGCAUUUAUCUCUCUCUCCUCUCUCUCUCUCUCUCUAAUAAAAUAUAAUAAAAUAUAAAUUGAUGAGGGAGAAAGCAAUUCUACAAAUUUGAAGAGAGAUAAUCAUUUCUUAUUUGAAGAUUUUUAAUUGGAGUGUUUUUUGAAACUUUAAAUACUGACAUGACUCUUUAAAUAAGCAAUAAAAUCUUAUUUGAAGAACUUUUAAGAGAUGCUUUAACUACAUUAUAGUAAGGAUGCAAUAGGGAAGGGAAGGGAGCAGACUGACAUCGCCGCAUCCAUUUAUGAUAUUCUACAUAUGUUCUCGUUCCCGUCAAAAUUGUUUGAGCUUUGAGGAGAGGGGAUGAGGAUCCCUAAAUAAUAACAAGAGAUUUUCAAGGGGUCCUGAAUUUCUGAAUAUUUGAGCCUUGAGGAGAGGGGAUGAGGAUUCCUAAAUAAUAACAAGGGAUUUUCGAGGGGUCCUGAAUCCCCAAAUAACUAAUAUGUUUUUAGUUUUCCAACUUAAUAUAAUCAUAUUAACCUAAAAAUGUAUAAAAUAAAAUGAGAAUGUUUAUGAAUGAGUCUUAUUUCAUUUUUACUCCAUCAAACUUUUGAUAUAUAUAAUAUAUAAAUAAUACUUUUCAAAACAAAAUUCAAAUAAUGUGAUUUUUUUUUAUAUAAUACUGACGCAAGUACUGUCCAUGAGCCACUUGGCCACCGAUUAUGGCACGACAAAUGCCCUGAGCGCAGCUGCUAACUGACGACACAACGAGCUGAGCUGCUUGGCCACAGAUGACGCGCAUUGCUAUUAGGCUAUGAUAAAAUAAGAACUACCUAGGCACUAGUUGUGGUGUGAAUAAUUUAGAAAAGAUGUGUGAGAAUGUAAAAAAUUAGCUUAGGAUUUGAUUUAUGGAUCGUGGGUUUACGGGCUUGGGGUUGUGUUAAGUCUUUGUACAAACGAAUAUUUAUAUUAUUUCAACAAAUAUUUUUAAAUUGGUUAUUUACACUAAUAUUUAAUAGUUUAUAAUUUAAAUUUUAUUAUUUAUUCACUAAUAAUUUAAAAAAAAAUUAAAAUUAAAAUAGGAAAAAUGGGGAAAUGAAGAGGGAAUGAGAAUUUCAUUUUAUCCAUGUCUCUUCCAUGAAUAAGAAAUUAAAUAAAAAAUUAUCAGUCUCCUCUUAAAAAAAAAUAAAAAUAAAAAUUAUCCCGCAUACCCUUUCAAAAUGAAAAUUCCCCAUGACUCCUAUCCUCGUGAAGAUUUCUGCCAUUCAUACAUUCAUUACAGCACACCUUCGAAGUCUUCCAGCAGCCACAAUGUAAUCAUUGUUGCAUCCCACCAGUGCAGCCGCACACGAACGCUUUACUUAAUGGCUUUACAUAUUAUUAUGCGCUGAGUGACAAAUAUAGGGAUCUUAGAAUUGGCCAGGAAUCAAUCAACUCAAAAAACGACACCUGACAUUGUACCAUGGGUAAGCGAUUAAACAAUCAGUUAACUAUAAGUAAAUCUUAUCAUAUAAUUAGUGGCAGAAUAUUUAUCCCAAAGGGUUUUCUGCCGUAUAAUCGAGGGAUCAUAUUCUUGUGAGAGAGACCCAGAUCUGCUUUUAUUAGUUGGUUUAGCACUUUAGACCAAAAUGUUAAAAAAAAAAAAGGUAGAUUCCCACAUUGUAAAGAACUUUCUAAGGGAAAAGAAAAAAUCAACUAAUAUUUUUCAACUGCUUAAAUCCAAAUUCUAGGCCUAGGACGAUCACACUGAUCUCAUCACACUGACCUCAUUUGGAAGCCGUAAGCCUCCGAACCUCUUCAGUAAAGAUGGUCAUGAUCUCAGCUCCAACUACAUGUGAUCCACACACAUGCAAAAAGAUCUGUUUGUCACUUGCACACAUGAUCUUCCAAGAAUAUGCAUAGUUUAAUCUAGAGCCAGUAUAAACAAAACUAAAGUGGAGAGAUGCUUCAUAAGGCAAUAUAGUCAUGUUGGUGAGAAAUGAAUCAAUGCAUUUUUAUUCGUGUUAUCAGAUCUCACAAAGACAAUUUCAGCAUAGAUACCCAUUAAGAAUGUAAAAUUGAUUUAUUUUAAUCUCAACAUAAUCUAAUGAAUAGAAGAUGAUAGAAAAAGAAUAUGCAUUCUUAUAUACCCAAUGUUGAAAGAAACCCUGUAGAUCAAAUGGUUUUGUUUCUCUCAACAAGUUAGAUAAUCUACAUAUUCUUGGUGCUGUUCCGGAAAUAAGGAUGAAGAGAAUGAACUCCUUCAAGGUAUAAAGGUGUCUGCAUUUCGAUCAAGCGAGAGACCUGCAUAGAUAGCCUUUCUCUUAGCAGAAUACAUGUAACUAUUAGAGGAACUACUUGAUCCAAAAGCUUAAGCUCGUAGGCAAGGGUUCAGUAUUUAAGACAAGUCUUAACAGUAGCAAUUUAUUGUCUUAUUUAAUAUCGAUUGUGAGCAAAAACCCAGUAAACAAAACAAGAGCAGAGAAAAAAUUCCAUUUGGUAUUGCUGACUAGCAGCUGUGGCUUUUAGUGUUUGGUAGACACUUGCAACUAUAGUUAAGGAGUUAAGAUGAAUGUACAGUUUGAUGAAAAACAUAUACUAUCCUUACAAUAUCUCAAAAAUUUUAACUGUUAAAGUGUUAUUUCCAAACAUUCAACUUUUAUUUCAUAACUAGAGCUUCUAUUUCACACCUGUGGCUACCUUAAUACCAAACAGAACUUAUGUCGACGUAGCCAUCAUUAAUAUCCACCACUAGUGUAGAGACAGUCACAAACCACUGAUCAAGAACAAUAUUUAUUUACGCUCACUUCAAAAAUCACUGGCCAAGCAAGCCACAUAACAUUGUUCAAGUCAUUGAAAGCCAAAUCUUCAAUAUCAGCUUAAAUAUGGAAACUUUUUUGUUUUUUGUUUUCCUUUUAUUUAUUCAUUUAUUUUUAAUUUAAAUAUAAAAGAGAAGAAGGGAGAGCCCCGACAAUCAAUUUGAGUGAUCGAAGAAAGAAAAAUCCCGCUCACCGCUCGACGGAAGGCAAACAAUUCUUCUUGGCCAGAUAGCAUGGAAACAAUACCAGCUGGUGCGCCCCCUGAACUCACUGUGCCUUCUGCUAGAACAUCCCGACGAAGUUUCCCACCUUCUAUCUCUGUUUCGAAUUGAAAACUGGUACAGACAAAGCCCAUGUCAGUCAUACAAAUACAAAGUCAAGAUCAAAAGAUUGUCAAUGAUGAAAAAUGGGCAGGGCCCCUAGUUAUGCAAAUGCUUGAUUGAGAUGUUCUGAAUGCAGUUCUAGAAAAGUGAAAAUAAAUUUUAAACAUUGCUAAACUGUCAGUCAGUCAUACAAUCGAAUUCCUUCAUUUUGAGCUCUGAGGUCACAUAGAGAUUACUAGAUUAUAGCCAGGGCUAUUCUAUUGAAGAUAUAAGUUUAUAAAAAAGAAUUCAUUUUAAAGCAACUUAUGAACAAGGUUUCUUAUGAUUGCAGCUCCAGGAAAACUUCCACAAAAAUGCUUAUUCACCUUUUUUUUUUUUUUUCUUUUUCUCUUUUUGGCAACCACCCAAGGGCUUGAGCCGCAAUUACUAUAUGAAAUUAAUAAUUGGGAGACUGGCUUAGAAAUGAAGCCAUCAGCAGAUUCAAGAACAAGUUUGGAAUAUUAAGAUCUCCUAGUAUCAACAUUCUCGAGGAAUCAUAAGCACUUACCUUUCCAAAUCAAAAAGUGUACCCUCUUCAGUUCCUUGAAAUAAAUCAUCAAUUGAAGAAGCUGCUGAGCAGAAUAGGCAGCAAUGGUGGUUGUAUAGCUCAUCAAUGAGGGUGAUAAACCUACGUGCCUGAAAAGUGAAGCAAAUUGAAAUGAGUGGGAUUAAAAAUUCAACAGUAGUGUACCAUAGUCAGUCAGCAUUGAAAUUUAAAAAUAAAGUUAUCAGGGCUUAAAAAUAGCUGGCUGCUUGUUAAGGAACCAAAUGCCAAUACCUAUACCAAUGGUAGCCCCAACCAACUAGUUCUGGAGUAUAGUUAAGUAUAUAUUUUAUGAUGCUCAUGAGGUACAGCAGCACAUGAAGACUCUUAAAGUAGAUGAGUUUCUAAGAGGACUGACAUUAUCUUGCAUAAGGAAUGAGUCUUAAGACUUUCUAAGUCUCUUGUUUUUCCCUCAACUCCAAUCAACAAAACAAUGUUUUUAUAGUGCAAUCACAUCGAUUGUGCACAUGAGUUCUUCAAGAACAAGAAACUAGUUCAAUGAAAUUUCAGUUUCCAGCGCCCCCCCCCCCCCNNNNNNNNNNNNNNNNNNNNNNNNUGCAAGAAUUAGAAAUGUAGCAAAAUGUACCUUGUCACGAAUUCGCAUACUCAUUACUGGGAUGUUAGUGAUGAAUACAGUGUGAUAAUUAUGUGCUACGGCAAUAUAGUCAGCUGCACCAACCUGCAGACAUUUGAGACAAAGUGACACAGAAUGUCCAUGUUUCAAAGAAAAGGAGUGCAAGCAACUGCAAGAUCCAGAAAACGAUCCCAAAUUUAAUUGAAUAGCCAUUUUAUGAAGUUUAUGAUGGAAGAGAAAGACAAAUUUUGAUAACUAAAACAACUCCAUAAACAAUGGUGAGAUUUUAUUAGAUUAUAGUUCAUUUAGGUAUCCAGACAUAAUCAAGAGAACCUUGUCAAAAUUUCAAUUGUCUUUUCUGGAGCCCAUCAGGCCAGUCCCAGUUUCGAGGGAAUGCUGUAUGGCAAGAUGCUAGUUUCCCAUCAGGAAUUCUAACAGAUAUGGAUCAGCAUUAUCUUUCUCAUUCACAAGAUCAACCAAACUCACUUUGUCUAGUAUCCUUUUAUUUUCACUUUUUUUUUUUUGUCAACCAGUGAUUUAUUAUUUUUAUCUUCAAUUUUAUUUCUCUAAAUUCUUGUCCUUUGCUUAUUCUAGUUUGGAGUACUGAUACAUCAAUAACAUCUACAAAUGACUGGAUAAAGAAAGUAAGUAUAGUAAUCAUAAGUUUCUUAAAACAUGGAGAGAAUAAGAACCAGGAGCUUCAGAUUUUUUGAAGUGAUGCAAUAAGGAUGCACAUUCAUGCACAAAAAUGCAUAGAAAGAGGCAACAAUUAAAUUUAUAAAUAUUUUUUUCAAAAAAAGGAAAACAUUGGAUAAAAGUGGAAUAUUUAUACAGAAAGGGCAAGUGCAAUACCGGACGACCACAUAGAUACUCAAAUGUGAAGCGUGCCACUCCAUUACAGCUUUGAGGAACUUCCAGUGUUCUAAUUUGGUAAAAAAGUAUUCUUUUAAUUUGCAAAUAGAAGACAUAUUUUAUUUGAAUGAUUAAAUUUCGAAAUUACCUCCCAAACAUUACAGGGAUGGUACUGGAUAUGAUUUUCCCUCCAAAAUGAUUUGUCACCUGACACCACAUUGCCUCAAGCUGCCUCACAGCAUUAUCAUCCAGGGGCCAGAAAUAGUGAACCUGCAUGCGCAUGCAAAUACAAUUUCAACCACUACAUACAUAUGCACAAACACAUAUAGGUUCAAGUGUGAUUGAUCCAACAAUUAAACAAGGAAUACAUAUAAUAAAAUGAUAAGGACAACGGAUAAGAGAUGUAUAUGAAUAUUUGCCACUCAAGAAAAGGUUUUCAAAUGAAGUUGGCAGAAAUUGCAUGAGCAAAAUGAAGAAAACAGCUCAGCAUAGAUGCAUUUGUGAAAUCUUUAAAGGAAUAUCAGGUGACAAUACAACGGAGAGAAAGUGGUUUAUUGAUAAAAGAAGCAACAAAGCAAAGUAACAUGUCACCUGGUCUAUAGAUCUCUGUGCGAUAAGCCGUCGGUAAUCAACCUCACUUCCAAUUGGAAUUAUCUCACAGUGCUUCUCCAAUUUUGCAACAAGCUUUUGAAAUAUCUCCCGCUGCAUGCCAUCCUGCAUAAGGAACAAUAAUAAAAACCAAACCAUUUUCAAUUGAUUCGUGGGAUGUUCAUCUGCAACUAUGUAAAUAAAUUUAGAAAUAUCUGCAAAUAACUAGGUGAUUCUACAAUACCCUCCAGGGAUGUCCCCAAAGAUGAUAAUUGGCCACAAGUGCCACCAGGCCUUACCCAGAAAGAUGCAAGUUAGAAGGAAUCUAGGAAGGGAGAAAAUUAGAAAUUUUCAUCAAGAAGAAGAUAUCAACUAAAAAGAACCUGAUUUAAAUCCCAUGGUGCUCGGUUACUGGUGGCCACAAGAACAGUUCCAGUACUCAAUAAUCUGCUCACAAUUCCAGACAAGGCCACAAUAGCAAAUACAUCAACAGUCUGUAACAGAAACCAAAAACUUUGGUAUUACAAUAGUUGCAAAUUCAAUGAGCCAAUUUUUGAGCAAUGGGGUCUAGCAUACGAUGAAGAACAAUUGUUGUACCACAGAAAGGGAAACUACAGAGAUUCAGGGGUAGAGGUGGGGAACAUAAAAUUAAAAUGGAACAAGGUGCAGCAAACUUCUUGGCCCCAUACACAUUUUAGUCUUUCUCUGAUUGGUAAUAUCACAUAUGAUAAAAAACUCAUGUCUUCUGUCUGAAUACAAGGAAAAUAGUGUACAACUUUAUGGGAUAUUAUUUUCCACUUAUUCAUCCUUUCCCAUUUCCCAAUUUUCUAAAACAAGAAUUCCCAAUGCCUCUUGCUUUCCAUAACAAAAUCAUACUAUUUUCCACUGGUUUUAGUACUGGAUAGAACGAAAAGCUGAUUACACAAAUUGUAAGAAUUUUAUUGGACCUCCUUCGAAUGCAUGCCCAAAUCAUUUUGAUGGUUGAAAAAUAAAUUGUCAGAAUAUGAUAUCCUAGGACUAAACUUAUGUCUUAUAGUAAAGCAGAUGAGCACCAAGAGUCAUCUUACCUGUAUCUCAUCAAAGCAAAGAAUGCUGGCCCCUCUUUGAUCUGCAUGUUGGUCUACAAGAAACUUAUCUGCUACAGCAGGAAGAAUGUUUUUCAUCUGUACUUCUUGCUUAUAUUUUUCUUCUGCAGCUACCCAUUCCAUAACUUUGGAAUCAAAGGGAAGAUUGGUAAUCCAACCAGAUAUACUUGACCGCAAAGAUUUUUCCUCCACUUGAUUUUUCCAUAACCUAUGCAUGUGUUCAUUAAUUUUCAACAUAGCCUGCAAAAACAUAUAUUUCAUAAAGUGGAAGCGAGUGCAAACUAAAAGCACAUACAGCAAAAGCCUGAGAUGUACUCAAGUCUCCGUAGGAAAGGGAAUCAUAAACAGGGGUUCGAAGUUCUCUUCCUUGCUCUCUAUAUAUUUGUACGUGUAAUUUAAAUACACAGAUGUGAUCGCAAAGAGUUGUCAAGUCAUCAGCAUAACACCAAAACAAAAGCUCACCUCAUGAAAAUGAAACCUCUGUCGAUGCUUAACAAUUCCUUCAGUGGCACCAUAAAACAUAUCCAUAAGCAUAGUCUUCCCUGUAUAAAACAAUUCAAUAGUUCAUUGUAUUCUUAUGAGCACACAAAUCCUAAGAUACCAACAAAGAAGUUCAAAAGCAACGAAACACCACAACUAUGACCUUAGUUACCCAAAAAGUGAUAGAAAUUCCAUGAUAUGGUAGGAUGUAAAUGGAUGGGGAACCAACUAACUGCUACAGAUGGAUGAAUAAUUAAAAGCUUAAAAGAUACGCAUAAAUUAGAUCUAGUAACACACCGCUUCCAACAUUGCCAUAUAAAUAAAGUCCUUUUGGAGCUGGAGGAGCAGUGGGACAGCGACCAACAAGUGAAUCCAACUUCCUUUCUCGAUUAAGGUAUGAAACCCAUCUACCCACACCUGGUUCUACAUUUUCAGGAUUUUUCCUGCGUCAAAAGACAACUAUUACGUUAUCCAAGAACAAAGCCAUCAACAAAACUGUUCUUAUGAUAAAUUUCUUUGGUGCUGCUAUAAUCAUCACCAGUAAAUAACGUGAUAUGUACCCAAAAAUUAGUUAAGUGCUAGGUGAAAAGAACAAAGAAACGCUAUAGUUAUCAUGAAUAAAUGCAAACACUUAGUCUAAAACAUGGUCAUAUUCAGGAUAUGGGACAAAUAUCAUGCCUCACCGAAACAUCCAUCUCUCUAUAAGUGUGUUUCGAUGCUUGUUUACUGAUGUCCACAAGUCCCCUUGCUGCUUUGACUCAGCUUCCCUUAUCAAUAGACUGCGCCUCUCAUUCUCACGAUUCUUCUCCCAAUUGGCUAAGUUCACCUGCCAAAAAAAAAAAAGAAAAAAGGAGAUGAUGCACAUGACCAAUCACUAGAACACCAACUCAAAUUCAUACUGCAUAAUCAGACUGUACAUGAUAUUCCUCCAUAUCUUUUUCAUACUGUUCCAAUCUCCCAAGCACAUUUUCUAAUGCCAAUGCAACCUUUUCCUGGUUAGGAUCAUGCUGCAACUUCCCUUGCUCAAUCAAUUUCCUGUACUGCAUCAACGGUCCUGAAGGAAAGAGAUUUUUAUGCUUUUACACCAUAUGUAACACAAAACAUAGAAUUUUAAAAAGCAAUCUCAUGUUUGCUGUUUGAUGAAAUUUCCAUUGAUCAAGAAAUUUCAUUCAAUUCCAUCAUCAAAUUUCCUCCAAUAAAAACUAAACUACUGACACCUAAUCAGUUUCACUCAUUUCAAAAUCGUAACGCUAUCAAGCGUACAAACGCAAAAUCUGAAUUUUCAAUCAAUGGUUAACGUAAUUAUUAGUGAGAGGAGAUACCUUACCUGGAGGCUUUGUGGAUGAAGGAGGAAAGUAAAAGCGAACCGCAUUUACGCAAAACUUGUCACUGUGAAUUCCUGUUUGUCUCGUAAACCGUAGAUGGAGAAGCGAAGCAAUUGAAGUUAUUUUUUUCAUUUUCAUUUCUCUAUUUUUUUUUCCCCCUAAUUUUCUCUGCGAAUGUGAUUGAAUUUUCUCAUUCGGGCUGUUGCAUAACUUGUACUUUAAUUACAGGGGGAGACGAGUCGUAGCUCGUAGUCGUAGGUAGCUUCGAGUGACGUGGCCGUUUCAGGAACGGGCAGGCGGGAAAGUUGGAGGUAUUUGUUGACGUGGAUACGCAAUUGACUGUUGGAUUGGAUGACAUGAACUCAUCUGUUAUGAUUCAUAAUAUCCGAGUUCCUCAACUUCUUAUUUUAUUAAUCUACUGUAAGGUUUUCGCUUCUUCUAACAAGAUGACGCCUAAUAAUAAAUAAAAGGCAUUCCAAUUAUUUUAGUACUGUUAGUCUUAAGAAUUUGACACAAAUGAACAAAUUAUGUUCUUGAGAAACCAUUGAUAACUUAAAGAGUGCUGAGGUAAUAUGUUAUUACUAUUAUUUAUUUCAUUUUGGUAAAGAAAAAAUAAUUUUGCUUAUGUAAUUUCUUUUUUUAACAGUAAUUUCUUUAUUAAUAUAUCUAGAAAAAUAUGAUUGAUAUUACAAUGCAUUGUUAUCAUAAAUAUUUUAUAGCUAUAUUAUGUUUUUAUGACAAAACUAAUUAUACCUUUAUGCCGAUGUUAAAAUUAUACGACAAAAUUAUUUUAUUAUACUAAUUCUGUAGAUUAUACGACUUGUCGAUUAGACCUUCAUAUUAAAGUACAGAUUUUACGAUGUGUCGGGUGAGUUUUAUUUAAACAACAAGAUGGUUUAUGUGUUAUAAGUGAUACAUUCGAGUGCCUUUUUAUAAUUUAUAAACCUACAAGGACAAUUUUGAUAAUUACCUAGCUAUCGAUUUCAAAAUUAAAUAAAUAAAAAUUGACGUGAAAGAGGUUUAACAACCGAGCGUGGUCGUUAACUCUUCUCUCGCACGCCAAUGCAAUAAUGACUGAUAAGUUGUGAGAGUACUGAGUUUGAACUUAGAGGCGCUGAAACCUGUAAAUGAAUAUCGCUCUGAAAGCAAAAUCCAGGCUACAGUGCAAAAUCCCAAUUCACGAUAGAGCAGCAGAGCAAAGCUGCUUAGCACUCCUCCAAUCCUGCAACAGCCUCCCUAAACUCGCCCAAAUCCACAGCCGCAUUCUCAAAUUGGGUCUCCUAAACAACCCACUAGUUCUGACCAAGUUCACUGCUACCUCCUCCGAUCUCAAUGCUAUAGAUUAUGCUACCUCUGUUAUAUUUUCACCGGAAUCCGAUACCCUUCUCUAUGAUACGUUCCUAUUCAAUACUAUAAUAAGAGCUUAUGCUCAGAUUAAUAAUUUGAAGACUAAUUCUAUUGAGUGUUACAAUCUGAUGCUUGAAUAUGGAGUUUCGCCCAAUAAAUUCACUUACCCAUUUGUUCUUAAGGCCUGUGCUGGCAUUGGUGACUUGAAUCUGGGCAAGUCUGUACAUGGUGCUGUGUUAAAGUUCCAGUUUGGUGAUGAUAUUCAUGUGCAAAACACUUUGGUUCACAUGUAUGGAAGUUGUGAAGGAGGGAUUGAGUUGGGUCGUAAGGUGUUCGAUGAAAUGUCUGAACGGGACUCUGUUUCAUGGAGUGCGAUGAUUGGUGGGUAUGCGCGUUUAGGUUUGUCUACUGAUGCUAUAGAUUUGUUUAGGCAAAUGCAGAUUUCUGGUGUUUGUCCAGACGAGAUUACUAUGGUUACGGUUUUGUCUGCUUGCACCGACUUGGGAGCACUUGAGGUUGGCAAGUGGGUUGAGUCUUUUAUUGAGAAACAGAUGGUUAAUAGAAGUGUGGGGCUGUGUAAUGCUUUAAUUGACAUGUUUGCUAAGUGUGGUGAUGUUGAUAAAGCUUUGAAGCUGUUCAGAAGCAUGAAUGGGAGAACUAUUGUUUCAUGGACUUCUGUGAUUGCUGGUCUGGCAAUGCACGGUCGUGGUUUAGAGGCUGUGGCUUUGUUUGAGGAAAUGUUAGAAGCUGGAGUGCCACCUGAUGAUGUUGCCUUUGUAGGAUUGCUCUCUGCUUGUAGUCAUUGUGGGUUAGUUGACAAAGGCAGAGAAUAUUUCGAUUCAAUGAAAAAUGAUUUUGGCAUUAUACCUAAAAUUGAACACUAUGGAUGCAUGGUGGACAUGUUAUGCAGGUCUGGACGGGUGAAAGAGGCACACGAGUUUAUUCAAAAGAUGCCCAUUGAGGCAAACCCUAUUAUUUGGCGAACACUGAUUAGUGCUUGUUGUGCCCGUGGUGAACUCAAGCUUGCAGAGAGCAUUACCAAACGGCUAAUUGGAAACGAACCUAUGCAUGAGUCCAACUAUGUACUGCUUUCCCACAUAUAUGCGAAAUUGUUACGUUGGGAGAAGAAAACCAAGAUAAGAGAGGUGAUGGAUAAAAGAGGGAUGAAGAAGAUACCAGGGAGCACUCUGAUUGAAUUAGAUAAUGAAAUCUAUGAAUUUGUGUGUGGAGAUAAGUCACAUCAUCAAUCGAAAGAAAUAUAUGAAAUGCUUGAUGAAAUGGGAAGAAAGAUGAAGAAGGCUGGAUAUGUUCCCACUACAUCAGAGGUGUUGUUGGACAUAAAUGAAGAAGAUAAGGAAGAUGCUUUAAAUAAGCAUAGCGAAAAGCUGGCAAUUGCUUUUGCCCUUUUGAAGACACCCCCUGGAACUCCUAUAAGAAUUGUGAAGAAUUUGCGAGUUUGUAACGACUGUCACUCUGCUACUAAAUUCAUCUCUAAGAUCUAUAAUCGAGAAAUAGUUGUGAGAGACCGGCACCGCUUUCACCAUUUCAAGGACGGGUCAUGUUCAUGCAGAGAUUUCUGGUGACACUAAUUUCAAAGUCAGGACUAUUGUUAUAUUUAUUGAAGCCAUAGUUGUCUGACCUAGGUAGAGAAUUGCAUGAAAGUUACAGAGGGUUCUCUCAUGCGACGAUCAUUCACCGGAAAACAUACCUGGCACAAUAUUUUGGUUAGGGCAGGAAUUUAGACCAUUUUGUUUGAAUUUUUUCCCCCGUUUCCAAUUGAGCUAGAUAUUCGAGAAAAUAUGGUGCACAAGAGAUCAUCUGAAAAUCAUCAAAGAUCGAGGCUCAAAAUUCUUCAUUCUAAAAUGGCUUGUUAAUUGUUAUGGGUAGUGCUUAAAGUCCACCCAAAUGGUGCUUUACGGUUAAGCGCGGUUUAAUUGGAAACAGAAUGUACACAUCAACAGUUAUGUUUGUCCAUUUUUACAAACCAAUAAAUCUGAAACAAUUUUUUAUUCACAUUUAGUGGAUAUAUGAUCUGGAAAUAAUCAUGAAACUGGACAGAGUUCACUACAUUUCUGAUGUGGACCUGGAGAACUGGAACUUGUCAAAUUUUCAUUAUGUGCAGCAAUUUCUAUUUUGGAUAGGUACAAUAAAUAGAUAUCGUUUAACCUUGACUGUAACUUCGCGUAAAAUCUUGCUAGAAUCAAAGGUUCAUGAUUGAAAACACCUGAAAAGGUCCAUGAUUAAUCUGACCGUACGGUAGUUGAUCAUUAUGGCUCUUUUGACAUAUACCUACACUGCUUAUAAGCUGGCUAGCUAAAUACUGUUUAACUCUCUCCAGGUUCUGCAAAUGAGCUUUGCGAAAGGGAGUUAAGAUUGGUCCUAGUAGAAUGUAUAUUUAGAAUGGAACAUUCUGGUGAUGUCGAUUACCCAAAAACUCUAUCCUCACAGUACUGUGCCACGUGCUCUAUGUCAAAAGCAAACUACAGGCAAAGCAUGUGCAGUUAUUUUGACUUGAUUAGGUGACAGUGGCCAGCUGGAAAGUUAUGCAAUUAUCGACCACCGUUUUCAUCCAGCAGCUGCUGAUUGGAAAACUCUCCCCUGCAUUUACCUGUUAAAUCUGAAAGCUUCAACUUGAAGCCCAAGCUUGAUCUUAAUCACUUUUGCGUUUCAAGUAGCAAUGCAGCAACUUGUGCCGAUGCAUUAGCUGAGUAUUAGAUUAUAGUUUAAUGGUCAUCAUAUCUCGUAACCUUAUCAUACCAAAUAAACUUUUGCAUUAUUUACAAACACCAUUACAGGUGAACUAAGAUUUCAUAUCCACCGUUCAGAAUAUUCUAUUGUGCCUACUCUUGUCAACUAGCAGCACCCACCUUGGACAAUGACGCGAGAGUCUCAUCGUAAUCUUGUGGGGUAUGAUUAAGAAAGAUGCUGAAUCUUUAAUUGUAGAAUUUGCUAAUGCUGUGACAUUUUAGUGAUGAAUUAUUAAGUUCUAUUACUGUUUUGCUUACUUGCUUUUAUCAUGUAGACCGUCAAGCAUUCAACAAGACAAUAGUAAGAGCUGAUCCCAAUUUUGUAGUCAAAGAUUACUUUUUUUUUUUUUUGAGUGACAAUGAUUUCUUCUUCUUUAAACUUUUUUACCAUGUCCACCAAUUACCAUUGCUACUACUGUUUCUUUUUAUAAGUAAAAAUAGAGAUAAAUAAAUUAGAAGAUGUGGCUAUAUCGUAUCAGAGUUGAUAAUAGAUUAUGAAUACAUAGUUGAGUUAGGUUACCGUCUGUCAAUAACUUUUCAGCAAUUGUUUCAUCUGAUAAACACUUAUAGCUGUCAGUCAAAAAAAAAAAAAACCGUCAACGAUAGUAAAUGACUUUUACUUUAAUAGUUUGGCAAAUAUUAAGUUAUAAUAAUUGUAACAUACAUUUCUUAUGUAAACCACAUAAAUUAUAAAUUUUAUAAUUUUAUGUAGUUCAUAUGAGAAAUGUAUGUUACAAUUAUUAUAACUCUGAGACUCCCUAAUAGUUUUACUAAAUAUCCAUGAAUCUUUUCUCGAUAACUAAAGCUUAUAUUUCAUGGUACGCGAUCGAUCAAUCAAUCAAUCACAUCUGUUUGUGUACUAAAAUCUUCUUCGACCUGUAAUCUCAUAGAGACACGCAUUGUCCAUACUAAAUUAUCUGAGACAUGUAACGUGCCGUGUAAUACAGGUUUAAUAAAGGAGCAGACAAUGUUUUAAGCUUUGUUGUCCAUUUCAGGCUUUUCAGCUGAUUAGCUGAUAAUGACAUUCGCUACCUGGCUGCUGAAGAUAUUGUACUUUUCUCUCAAUGUGUGUCAAUGCCUAACCGACUAGACACCAUAACUUGGCUUACAUCACCUCAGCUGUAGUGCCAAACCGUUCUCUAGAACGUUGUAAGGUUAUGAAAUUGAACACUCUUAAGACCCCUAGCUGAAAAUUAGGUUUCAUUUGAUAUUGUCGUGUUUACAGCUUUGAAGCCAUAAGUUACUAUAGAAUAGAAAAUUUAGUUAUCAAGUGAAAAUUUAAUACACUAGCAUGAAAUAUUUGUACUAAACUCGUUGCGCUGUGGAUGUACCUAAUACUUUCCUCCAUUUCUUUUUACUCAUUUGGAGCUCCCAAGUUGUGGCACGUUUCACAAGCUAUAAUCACACACAUAAUUAGCACAUGAGCUGCAGAAUUAUGUAACCAAAUGGGAAAGUUCCGAUGCACCGCAGUUUCAAGAAAACAAAUUCUUGCAGCGCAUUCGCAUUUCUGUAGUGGUUGGUGCAUUACUGUAGUGCUUGGAUUUGCUGUGCUCUUUGAAUCAACUCUUCACGUUAGCAAACUGGCCUACCACUUUAAAUUGCUCAAGUCACUGGACUUGUUUAUUACGAAUAUUGCUAGGUCAACAAUAAUACAAGUUUCUAGGUCUCCCUUAAAUUCAGAUCCUUUUACGCAUGCAUGCAUAUGACAUUCUUUAUUUAUUACUACGCAAUCACAUGCACGGUGCUUCUUCUUUAGCUACUAAACUCUUCUUAGUAUGAAUACACUUUUUGUUCCCUUCUAGAAUAUUCAACAGUAUGCUAAUUUCAACAUGUAUAUGUUACAGCAACCCUUCUGCACAAACUGCAGGUAAUAGAUAAACCAUCAUCUUCUCUAUUCACAGCAACUGGUUCACACUGCAAGCUCCACCUAACCUCAGACCUCAUGUACCGCCACAAAAGAUUUUACCAAUUGAACAACAAACAAGCGCAGCCAUGAGUAGUUCAAAUACUAAACCAACUUUUACGGUACAAAUCAAGAUAAUUUGGGCUCCCAAGCACACUCUUUGUGACCUUCACUAUACUUGUACUCUAUCCAUUUGAGGAGUUAAUGAUAUCCCGACUGCAAAACUUUAAUGAUAUCACAACUGGAAAACCAAGUUUAGCUUCUUCAAUCUAACAAUCAUGAAUGUAAAUUACAAGAGUUUAGAACUUGAUCAAACUGAUACUUUCAUUUGAAUGUGUAGGACCUUGCAUUUGAGUGAUCAGCAUAUGCAGUAAUGUUAUGGUUGAGAUGUCGAAGAAGCCAAAGAACCACUUGCACAUAGCAUUAUAUUUUCGGUUAAAAUUUGGCUAAUUAUAUGAACCAAUCGUUUGUCAAAGAACUUGGACUUACAUUGCUGUUUAAUAAUCUCCACACGGGAAUGGGUCACUGUUAUGCAAUUAUGCUCUCUGCAAAAAGAAAGUAUAAAGCUUUUUGUCCAUAUAACAGAACAAAACAAGUUACAAAAGAAACGAAGUAGUUUUUUGCCUUGUGUGGGGUAACAAAAGCUGCAAAGCCACUUAAAUAAAUGAAUGGUAUCUGUGGCUCACAGCUCUCACAACCGAUUUAAUCAAUCCUAACAUAAUUGGACCUAAUGACUAUUCGAGAUUUUCACUUUAUUUUUUUUAUUUUUGAUUUUUCUCUUUAGAUAUUACCUUCCUUUCCAAUGAUUCUUCAUCAACUAAAAUAAUAGCCUAACUUUCUUUUUGAAAUAUCUGAAAAAGAAGAAAAAAAGAAAUUAUAAAAAAGUAAAAGAAGUUGAUACAAGUGGUUAUAAAUCCUAUGUUACUAUGUGAUAAACCCAAUCCUUAUUAAUGCCAAACGAGAGGAGGGCUUAUCAGAAAAUGGUAGCGGAGGUCACUGUUAAGAGGAAUCACUUGCAUAAUUUUGUCUAUAAAAUCAGAAUCUAGCUACUUGGGUCUCAAGACAGCUCAGUUCGCUAAGCUUUCCUCUUAGCUGCGGUUCAAAGCUAUUUUCCUACUCAACUUUGGAGAUAUGGUUUGUCAAUUUCUUUAGCUUCUAAUAUAACUUAAUUAUUUCAUAGCCCUUUGUUGAUCAUUUGACAAAAGAGAAUGUUGCCUUGCAAUUCUAUGUGUUGAUUGCCAGGGUGAGAUGGUGAGUUGGACUGUUGCAGAUGCAGUAGAUUAUAAGGGGUUUCCUGCGGAUAGGUCCAAAACUGGCGGUUGGGUUCCUGCUGCUCUUAGCUUAGGUACGGCAUAUUUGCAUCUCUUUUGUUAUGCCAUCCAGCUUUAUCUUUUAUCAGAAAAUUAACUUUUAAGUUUCCUGUUGAAUGAUCUAGAUUUCAUUUACAUUUAUUGCGUACAAAGUUGGGAUCCCUGAAUGGUGCACAUAACAUAAGAUUUAUACUUCAUUUUGUAUUUACACCAGGAUAAAUAAACUAAGUUAAGUUACAGUAUUGCUGCUAUUAACAUGCGUCAACUUUUUGUUGAUCUCAUGGUUAUGUCAUCUUUUUGUUGAUCUCAUGGUUUUUGUGGCCGUAGUUGUCUAUUCCACAUGCGCUUAACUAUCUCUCGCGCAACAAUAUUCAUCUCUGACUGCAUUACUGACUGCAGCUGCUCCUGCAUCAUUUUGACAGCAUACUUAUUUUUAUUUAUUUAUUUUUUAUUUUUGGUUUCUUUGGUCUCGCUUUUCUGGCCUGUGGGUUAUGCAUGUGAAAAAUCAUUUUCUGAACUGGUAUGAGAAACCAAGUGUCUAUAUACAUAUGCAAAAUCAUUUGCAAUUACUAAAUCUUGAAAGCUUGUCCAGGAAUUGAAAUAUGCGAGAGGCUCUCAACAAUGGGAAUUGCAGUGAACCUUGUGACAUAUUUGGGUGGAACGAUGCAUCUUCCAAGUGCUACUUCUGCCAAUAUAGUCACAGACUUCAUGGGCACAUCCUUUUUGCUAUGCUUACUAGGCGGCUUCCUUGCUGACUCAUUUCUAGGCCGAUAUAGAACAAUUGCUAUAUUUGCCACAGUCCAAACUUUUGUAAGUAUUACAUAGUUCUAGCUUGCCGUUGAUCGAGUAGCUUUUUAUUUUAUUUUAUUUUAUUUUUCAUUUAAUCUUGCUCCUUGCAAAUAUGGCUGGUUUUUAGGGGACUGGCUUGUUAGCAAUAUCAACUAAACAGCCCCAGCUGCGCCCGCCUCCUUGCCAGGCUACUGAUAUAACCAAAUGCCAACAUGCUUCAGGAAUUCAAAUGGGAGUUCUCUAUAUUUCCUUGUAUCUAAUUGCAUUGGGGACUGGUGGCCUAAAAUCAAGUGUCUCAGGAUUUGGAACUGAUCAGUUUGAUGAGAAGGAUGAGAAGGAAAAGACGCAAAUGGCCUACUUCUUUAGCAGGUUCUUUUUUGUCAUUAGUACCGGGACUUUGAUGGCUGUCACAGUGCUCGUUUACAUUCAAGAUGAAGUUGGUCGAAGCUGGGGUUAUGGAAUAUGUUCCAUCUGCAUGUUUACGGCUAUCCUGAUAUUUUUAUCAGGAACUCGAAGAUACAGAUACAAGAAAUGCUCGGGCAGUCCCAUAGUCCACAUUUGCCAAGUUGUUGUGGCUGCCAGAAAGAAAAGGAAGGUUGAAUUACCUUCCAGUACUGCCUCCUUAUACGAGGAUUACCCCGAGGAAUCCAGAAUCCAGCGCACAUAUCAGUUCCGGUAAUAUAUACGUUGUUAUUAGAACUUUGCAGUCAUCUUUUGUUUCCUUACUAUUGCUAAGUUGUUAUCAAGAAUAUGUUUCUAUUCAGAAGUUUUUCAAGAUACAAAUCACUUGGCAAAUAACGCAGAAUUUUCAACUUUAAUAUAUUUUUUUUAACAUUAUAUCAUUUACUAAAUACUUGUCUCAUAAUUCUUUCCCUUUGUGACAAUGUUGUAGUUGCUUGGACAAGGCGUCGGUUGUGACAAAUACUGAUUACAGUGAAGAUGGUGCCUUCGUCAGCAAUCCUUGGACGCUUUGUCCGGUCACAAGGGUCGAGGAGGUGAAGAUGGUGAUUAGACUACUUCCUAUUUGGGCAACAACAAUCCUAUUUUGGUCAACAUAUGCACAGAUGAUCACAUUCUCGGUGGAACAAGCUACCACCAUGCAGAGAUCCAUAGGAAAUUUCAAAAUUCCAGCUGCUUCCCUCACCGUCUUCUUUGUAGCAGCCAUACUGAUCACUCUCGGAGCUUAUGAUCGGUUGAUUAUUCCACUUUUGAAAAAGAGGAAAGGCAAACCAGGUAAGAGAGCCAGCUCUCCAGCAGCCUCGUAAAAGUUUACACCAAUUCAUUGCAUAAACUAAUCCAUUCAUAUGUCACACAGGAUUUAGCAAUCUGCAAUUGAUAGCCAUAGGCCUCUUCUUGUCAGCAUUAGGAAUGGCAUCAGCGUCAGUAGUAGAGGUGAAACGUCUGGCAGUCGCGAAAGCUAAUGGCACAACAGGAACAACUUUACCCAUCUCAGUUUUCUAUUUGAUCCCACAAUUUUUCUUGGUGGGUUCUGGAGAAGGAUUUAUGUACACUGGGCAGCUAGAUUUCUUCAUCACUCAGUCACCUAAAGGAAUGAAAACAAUGAGCACCGGUCUGUUCCUCACAACACUCUCACUUGGGUUCUUUUUCAGCAGCCUUUUAGUUUCCAUUGUGAAGGCUGCAACUGGAAGCAAUGGUAAACAUGGUUGGGUAGGAGAGAAUAUAAACAAAGGGAGACUUGAUUGUUUCUAUGGGCUUUUAGCUGCAUUAAGCUUCAUUAAUUUUGGAUUGUUUCUGCUUUGUGCUUCAUGGUACAAGAGGAAAAAAGCUAAACAGGUUCCAGAAAUGGAGAUUAUAGUCAAAGGUUCUUCAGUUGAAGAGAAGCUCUAGCUUCUGAUACUCCAUGCACGCCAAAUUCAGGUUAAGGAGUGAUAUAUUGGUGUGAUUCUUCUCUUAUUGCAAUUUUCAUAAAUAAUGUAAAAUUAGAAGUGCGGAAAGAAAAUUACAUAGUACGGUAGUGUAAUUUUUAUUCAUAGCCUACCAUCGUAUUGUGAUAUCAAUUCUGUUCUUUUUUUUUUAUAAUUUAUUACUUUGCUCAUUGUAUUAUAGUAUGUGCCCAAGGGUUGAAGAAAAAAAGUUCAAAAUAAAAAAAGUGCCCAGGGUUUAAAAGAACUGACGGCUACUGAUUUUAAUGGCCCAUCAGAAAUAUUUCUUCCAAAUAAUCAAAUCUUGCAUUGAAGGAGAAACGUGAAGCGCCCCACUCGGAAAUGCCCAGCCCAACUUGGAGCAAUUGAACAAGUUCAAUCUUGGAGAUUUUCAUAUUACCUAAUGCUACAUGAAAGUUACAGCAAGACCAAUCGGAAAGAACCGAAGUGCAUCUCCACGGUCACUAUUGUCAUUAUCACCUCACACUGACCUCGCUAUUACAAAUGGAAAGCCACAUGGACACGGUUCACUCCCCAUAGAUGAAGUGGCUUCAUCAGAUGUUUUUUUGUGAAAUCAAUUGGACCACGGCAGUCUUAGUAUUUCAUCUACUACAUUGCAAGCCUUCAUUGUUCCUCUCAACAUAGAGGCAAUUGCAAAAGAAUUCGACAACCAAGAUUAGAUCUGUGUAGUUCGAUUGCUGAGGGCCCAUGUCCCUCUUAAGGGCAUCUGCAUCAUCGCCCAAGGUUCUGACAACAUCAAAAGCAUUUUGAGGAUGACAAUGAGGCUGGAUGAAUAGACCACCUACAUAGAAGCAUCCUGGUCCAGAGUAGGAAGGACUAAGGACCACUGAUAAAUCAUUAUAGUUUGGCUUCUUAGCUAAAAGUUCUGCAUGCUUUUAUUAUCAAAGAUAAAUAACAUUGUUAAAGAGUUUGACAAUCAAGAAAUUAAAUACAAAUACAAAGGUAUAAGGAUUUUGCUGAUGGUAAGCACGGGAGACGAGACCAGGAGAAGGAAUCCCAGGUCUCAUAAACAACAUUGGCAUCCUUUCAAUUUCUCUGCCGGCAGGGAUUCUUAACUAAAUCCAGGAUAAAUAAGAAUAACUUGAAAAUGACUACUUGAUUACAAUUACUGUAAAUUAGGGUUUCUCUAGUAUCACAACUUGGGAAGAAAAUGUUUCUUAUUGAAAAAAAAAAUGGGGAAGGAAACGCCAGCCGAGUACAUUUGGGGCUAAAAUCAAUUUUAGCUUGGGAGUAUAUCCUUUAUCGCUCUGUUUCAAGUAUCCUAAUAUAGCUUUGAGAUUGGGUUAAAGAAAGAUCAUAGUACAGAUAAGUUAGUGCUAAAAGCAAAUCAGCCAGCUGAUUAGCCGAGUAGGACAGCUGCACUAAGUGACAGGUUUGCGAGUGUCCUCAAUUGAAACCUCCCUAAUUCAGUCAGUCUGCUGAACCAACAAAUGUGAAGAAAUCUAAGUGAUAGUUCAUAAUUAGAAGAGCAUCUGAAUUAUACAUAAGCUCUGGAUCAGCUGGAUUAAGGAUAUUAUGGCACAAAGAGAAAUCAAAAUAAUGGUAAGAAACUAAGGACUGGCUGGACUAAACUGAGUGCAUGUUUGAUUGAACUAAGUUGGCAGCCUGGAUCGAUCUACUCUCAGUUUCCUUGCUAUGGCAAUAGCUAUAAAAUAAACAAUGCAGAUGUUCUCAAGGGUAAUGGAAUCUAGUUGGUGACCCUCUAGACAUCUAGGAUGCACAACAGCACUAAAAACAUACUCUGAAUCUGGCAUGCAUCUUUGUGGUGAAAUACAAAGAUUUCAACACAAUGUAGGAGAUGAAUCACUCCAGCAUAUAAGCCUAAUGAGGAUUGAUUAGAGCAAUAAAAUUUAGCUUUUAAAACUCAUCAAAUCAUAUAAAGAUUCACCAACAAAACAAAUACGCCUAAUUCAUAACCAUAGAAAAAAAUAACAAGAGAGAACAGAAACAUAAAUAUGAAUAAAUAAGCAUUAAAACUCCAUCAAUGAAAGAAGUAGCACCUACAAACACAUAAAUAGUUAAAAUGAAAGAGCAAGAAGACGACAAAAAGAUACAGGGUAUUUGAAACUCUCACUCAGUAACAUACAUGGAUUGGCACCUUAGCAACAAGACAUGAAUCUCAAAUCCCUAUAACUAUAAAGCAACGGGAAUAAUAACUAGCAUACGAAAUUGAAACUGAAACCUAAGAGCAGCAUAACAAACCCAAAAAAUGCAUCCAAUGAGCAGAAAGAAACCAAUGCCCUCAGUUUCUUUGCCCAAAAUCGAAACCCUUUUCUUCAUCAUCCACCUCUUGCAUACACUCUUAUUUUCAUCAUAGUUGAUUCUUUUGAAUGGAUUUCCUAAAUUAACCCUCAAUUAAUCCUGAGAUUCAUUCCUCUUGGUCGAUCCACCUCCUUCACCAUCCCUCUCCUCCAACAACUUCCCAGAUUCCUCAUCAGCCUGUUGAGCCUUCUUCUGCGCCUCCUUAGCCUUCAAUGCCUGCAAUUUCGAGUGAUUGUAAUACGCAACACCCAAAAAGGCAAGACCAUAUCCAAACAGAUUAAUGGGGGUGACAGUGUCCUUAAUCACGGACCACGAAAAGGCGAUCAACAACCAAUCCUUAACCACACCAGCCACAUUCAUAGUCAAAGCAGAGGUCUUCCCAACAAGCAAGAACACGGCAAGAUUCAAAGCAAAGGCACAAAGCGAAUUAGUUCCGAAGAUCACGAAAUCAAAAUGGAAACUCGACGUCUCCCUCAAAAUGGGCAACUCCACAAAGAUCCAAGGCACAAGCAAGAAAACCAAACAACAAGGGGCAACAUAAUACAAAGACGUAAUAGGAUUCAAAGUGAUCCCUUUAGAUGUAAGCAAGAUUUGAAUCAUUACCAACCUCGUCGCCUCAAAAGCGACGGCACCCAGUUGCAAGACGACUCCCCAGGAGUCAAAUUUGGCCUCCCCGUAAGCGGCAAUGGCGACGCCGACGGAGAUCGAGACCAUGUUACACAUAGUGUCACUCUUAAAGGACUCCUUUUUAAACAUGACCCCGAUAGAGUAGACGGCGACGGGCAUAAGGGCUUUGAGCAUUUGGAUAAAGGAGACGGAGAGGUAAAUGUAAGCGGAGUUGGAGAGCCAGAGGCUGAGGGAAUACAAAGCGCCGAUGGGGACGACGGAGGAGAAGUAGAGAUCGCGAGACAUGGUGACGGGUUCGACGAAUUUGAAGACUUUGAUGAGGAGGAAAGCGAGGGUGGCGCAAA
rnacentral:lncRNA from 1 species